CCUUUAUAAUUUACUAAUUAAUAAAAUAUUUUUAGGGGGCUUAUAUUUUUUACACCUUCUGGUGCUGAAUGCCAUCUUCAGCCUAAUGGGCUAUUUACAAAAACUUUAAAAAAGAAGAAUAUAUUAUUUACAAAAUCGCUUUCAUAUAUUAUAAUAAAAAAAACAGUUAUUAUUUUUUAUAGAAAUAUUGAAUAAUAAAAUGAGGAGAUGAAAAAGGGCGUUUAAAAAUGUAUAGCAAAUAAACUCAUGCAAAACUUAUAUUGCACAUCGUUAUUUAUAAUAUAUGAUUAUUAUAUUGCUAUAUAUUAAAUAUUUUAUGAUUUAACAGAUACUUUUUUAUAUAUUAAAAAAAUGAAUAAAAUAUUAUGCUCUAAAGCCAUAUUUUACAUGAGCUUACUACCCCCUCUUUGUGUACGAGAAGCCGGUAUCCAAUAAAUCAUUUAUAAUAAUAUUAAUAUAUAUUAUGUUCAAUUUUUAUGAGAUAGCAUUUAAUUGUAAAAAUAUUUACUUAUAUGCUAGCACAACAAAUUAAAUAUCAAUUUUUACAUACCCUUAAUUCUUUGAAAAUAUGUUAAACCCUAUUAAAUUAUCGGCAUGAGGCCAUAUCGAAUUAUUUUUAUUUUUUCCCAAUUAAUAGUAAGUAGUAUUUAAAUUUAUUUUUAUAAACCCCAAAGAAAAAAUUUUUAUAUAGUUAUAUUAUACACUAAAAAAAUUAUAUAAAUAUUGCUGUUAUAGCAUAUAUUUAAUUUAUAUAUAGUUUAUAAAAUACAAAACAUCACAAAAAAAAUCAAAUCAAUAAUAUUAAACAUAUUUUGUUUAAAAUUAUGAAAUUGCAUAUUGUUUUCGAUAUGCUCUCACCACUAUAAAAGCCAUAAUAUAUAUAUUCAUGAAUAUUUUACUAUCCCCAUAAAAUUUAGUUUACAUAUUUCAUUAGUUUCAUCACGAAUAUAUUUUCCCAUCUUUUAAACAUAAAGUCGCUAGCAUCAUAGCUCCAUUCUGAUAUUUUAUUCUCCAUAUGCUCAAUAAACUUUAUUUUACAGCAUACACAUCCCCCAUAACACUUUAUUAAAUUAAAUAAAUCAUUGUAAUAAUUUCUAUUCCUUUCCAAUAAAUAACUCAAUAUGCAUGUGGUAAGCAUGUCCCACUCUUUCAUUAUAACUUCUUUUUCCAUAUUAUACUCUUUUACAAUCGUUUCACAUAUUUUCCACAAUUUAUCCCUAAAUUUCAUAUACUUUUUUCUUUCAAAAUUCCGAAAAUAACUAUAUAUAAUAUGUAUGCAUUUAUUCUCUAUAACACUAUAUUUAGUUUUAUUGCUUGCAUAUGAUAAUAACAAAUUUUCUUUUAAUUUUUUCCAUAAAUUAAAAAUAUUUAUAUUAUUAUCAUCUAAUCUUUCAAAUACUGUACUACCAUUAUCAUUAUUUAUUAUAUGAUUAUUAUAAUAUUCGUUAUCAUAAUCAUCUGAAAUUGUAUCAUUGUUUGCCAUUCCACUCGAAUCUAUCAAAUUUUCAACGUUAUCAUCGCCAUCGGCAUCAUUCAUUUCGUCAUUUUCUGACAAUUCAUUUUCUCCUGUUAAAAUAUCACAAUGUGUGUACUCUUCUUCUAAUGUCAUCGUUGACAUGUUUUCAAUAUGAUCGAUAUAAUCCAUUGUCAUUUCCCCAGAAUUGUUAUUGAAAUUCAUAUCCUCAUACAUUCGUUCCCUUUUGCUCAUCUCAACAUGCUCCAGACCUUCUUCAUUACACAUGAUAUAAUUACUCACAUUUCUAUUUACAUCAUCAUUGCGUAUAUUGUAAAUAUCAUCCAUAUUUAUAUUUCACUAACCUUUUUUCCUUUUAAAAUACUCAUCAAACCUAUAUAAAUAGAAUAUAUACAUGGAUUUUUAUUAUUGAUAUGUAUUAGCAGUCCAUUAAUGUCUCAUAUUUUUAAACACACCCAAAUGCAACAAUAUGCAAAAUUUAUUCAUAAUUAUACUUUCAAAUUAUAUUCCAUACAAAUAUUAUUAUAAUAUAUUUUUCCUUUCGACUUUCUAUAGGAUUACAUGAAUAUUUUAUUUUAUAAAAAGUUCCAUUUAUAAAAAAUGUUUAAAAUUAUAAACAUAAAAAAAAUAAUUGAAAGUGAAAUUGUUUUUAAUCAGCCCUUGCAAUCAAAUGCGCUAUCUUAUUUUCAUAAUUUUUUUUGGACAUAUAUAAAAACAUUUAUUAAAAAUAAUAAAUAUACAUUCUUUUAUAUCUUCUAUAAAUCCAUCUUUAAAAAAAUUUAAUAAAAAUAAAAUAAUAUUUAUAUGUUAUUGAUUUCUUAUUGU
rnacentral:rRNA from 1 species